GACGAACGCUGGCGGCGUGCCUAACACAUGCAAGUCAACUUGACUGAAGGAGCAAUCUGACAGUAGAGUGGCGCAAGGGUGCGUAACGCGUAAGUAACUUGCCCCAAGGUAAGGAAUAACGUCGAGAAAUCGGCGCUAAUACCUCAUAAUGCAGCGGAUCCGCAUGGAUAUGUUGUUAAAGGUUUACCGCCUUGGGAUAGGCUUGCGUCUGAUUAGCUAGUUGGUGUGGUAAACGGCACACCAAGGCUACGAUCAGUAACUGGUCUGAGAGGAUGAUCAGUCACACUGGAACUGAGACACGGUCCAGACUCCUACGGGAGGCAGCAGUGAGGAAUAUUGGGCAAUGCUCGAAAGAGUGACCCAGCAACGCCGCGUGGAGGAUGAAGGUAUUCUAUAUCGUAAACUCCUGUGAGAGCAGACGAAAGACAGAUUAUUAAUCUGGAUGACUGUAUGCUCAGAGG
rnacentral:rRNA from 1 species